UGGGGAAUAUUGCACAAUGGGGGAAACCCUGAUGCAGCGACGCCGCGUGAGCGAAGAAGGCUUUCGAGUCGUAAAGCUCUGUCCUAUGAGAAGAUAAUGACGGUAUCAUAGGAGGAAGCCCUGGCUAAAUACGUGCCAGCAGCCGCGGUAAUACGUAUGGGGCGAGCGUUGUCCGGAAUUAUUGGGCGUAAAGGGUACGUAGGCGGUUUUUUAAGUCAGGUGUCAAAGCGUGGAGCUUAACUCCAUUAAGCACUUGAAACUGAAAGACUUGAGUGAAGGAGAGGAAAGUGGAAUUCCCAGUGUAGCGGUGAAAUGCGUAGAUAUUGGGAGGAACACCAGUAGCGAAGGCGGCUUUCUGGACUGCAACUGACACUGAGGCACGAAAGCGUGGGUAGCAAACAGG
rnacentral:rRNA from 1 species